AGAGACCGAUAGCGAACAAGUACCGUGAGGGAAAGAUGAAAAGUACUUUGAAAAGAGAGUCAAACAGCGCGUGAAAUUGUUGAAAGGGAAACGAUUGAAGUCAGUCGUACCGACGGGAAAUCAACUAUCUUGAGUGCGAUUUUGUGGGUGGUGAUGAGCUUAAGUG
rnacentral:rRNA from 1 species